rnacentral:rRNA from 1 species
CCUACGGGGUGCAGCAGUGGGGAAUAUUGCACAAUGGGCGCAAGCCUGAUGCAGCCAUGCCGCGUGUAUGAAGAAGGCCUUCGGGUUGUAAAGUACUUUCAUCGGGGAAGAAAAUGACGGUACCUGAAGAAGAAGCCCCGGCUAACUACGUGCCAGCAGCCGCGGUAAUACGUAGGGGGCAAGCGUUAUCCGGAUUUACUGGGUGUAAAGGGGGGGGAGACGGCGAUGCAAGGCAGGAGUGAAAGCCCGGGGCCCAACCCCGGGACUGCUUUUGGAACUGCGUGGCUGGAGUGCAGGAGGGGCAGGCGGAAUGCCUGGGGUAGCGGUGAAAUGCGUAGAUAUUAGGAGGAACACCGGUGGCGAAGGCGGCCUGCUGGACUGCAACUGACGUUGAGGCCCGAAAGCGUGGGGAGCAAACAGGAUUAGAUACCCCUGUAGUC